UUACGGUCAAAUCACGCUGAAAACACCGGUUCUCGUUCGAUCACCGAAGUUAAGCAUCGUAGAGCCAGGUCAGUACCCAGAUGGGGGACCGCUUGGGAACACCUGGUACUGUAAG
rnacentral:rRNA from 1 species